rnacentral:misc_RNA from 1 species
CAAUACCUAAUUCUUAACGCAGUUACAUCAUACCUUCAGCUUCUUCAACUCUCCGAAUUUGGUUUGACUGAAUGCCCAAUCUGCGUAUAGUUGAAGAAGGGGACCAUUGUUUGAUUGCAGAAUUCAUAGAAGCAUAAAGGAGAUGGAGAGAAAAGGGAGCCCAAAAUUGAAUAUCGCAAUCAUACACCCAGAUCUUGGUAUAGGUGGAGCUGAAAGAUUGAUUGUUGAUGCGGCUGUUGAACUUGGCUCCCAUGGCCACAAUGUUCAUAUUUUUACAGCUCACCAUGAUAAAAACCGAUGCUUUGAGGAAACUGUUUCUGGUACCUUUCCAGUUACUGUAUAUGGCUCUUUUCUACCUCGGCAUAUAUUUUACCGUUUACAUGCUGUAUGUGCAUACUUACGGUGUAUUUUUGUUGCUAUUUGCUUGCUGUUCCUGUGGCCAUCAUUUGAUGUCAUACUGGUAGAUCAGGUUUCUGUUGUCAUCCCACUGUUGAAACUUAAAAAAUCAGCAAAGGUGGUAUUUUAUUGUCAUUUUCCGGAUCUGUUACUAGCUCAACACACAACUUUUCUUCGGAGGUUAUAUAGAAAACCUAUUGACUUUGUAGAAGAAAUUACAACUGGAAUGGCAGAUAUGAUACUUGUUAAUAGUAAAUUUACUGCAUCUACCUUUGCAAAUACAUUCAAUCAUCUCCAUUCUCGAGGAAUUCAACCUGCUGUUCUUUACCCAGCAGUCAAUGUGGAUCAGUUUGAUGAAUCUCAUUCUUAUAA